rnacentral:rRNA from 2 species
AAAUUGAAGAGUUUGAUCAUGGCUCAGAUUGAACGCUGGCGGCAGGCCUAACACAUGCAAGUCGAACGGUAGCACAGAGAGCUUGCUCUCGGGUGACGAGUGGCGGACGGGUGAGUAAUGUCUGGGAAACUGCCUGAUGGAGGGGGAUAACUACUGGAAACGGUAGCUAAUACCGCAUAACGUCGCAAGACCAAAGAGGGGGACCUUCGGGCCUCUUGCCAUCAGAUGUGCCCAGAUGGGAUUAGCUAGUAGGUGGGGUAACGGCUCACCUAGGCGACGAUCCCUAGCUGGUCUGAGAGGAUGACCAGCCACACUGGAACUGAGACACGGUCCAGACUCCUACGGGAGGCAGCAGUGGGGAAUAUUGCACAAUGGGCGCAAGCCUGAUGCAGCCAUGCCGCGUGUAUGAAGAAGGCCUUCGGGUUGUAAAGUACUUUCAGCGGGGAGGAAGGUGUUGUGGUUAAUAACCGCAGCAAUUGACGUUACCCGCAGAAGAAGCACCGGCUAACUCCGUGCCAGCAGCCGCGGUAAUACGGAGGGUGCAAGCGUUAAUCGGAAUUACUGGGCGUAAAGCGCACGCAGGCGGUCUGUCAAGUCGGAUGUGAAAUCCCCGGGCUCAACCUGGGAACUGCAUUCGAAACUGGCAGGCUAGAGUCUUGUAGAGGGGGGUAGAAUUCCAGGUGUAGCGGUGAAAUGCGUAGAGAUCUGGAGGAAUACCGGUGGCGAAGGCGGCCCCCUGGACAAAGACUGACGCUCAGGUGCGAAAGCGUGGGGAGCAAACAGGAUUAGAUACCCUGGUAGUCCACGCCGUAAACGAUGUCGACUUGGAGGUUGUGCCCUUGAGGCGUGGCUUCCGGAGCUAACGCGUUAAGUCGACCGCCUGGGGAGUACGGCCGCAAGGUUAAAACUCAAAUGAAUUGACGGGGGCCCGCACAAGCGGUGGAGCAUGUGGUUUAAUUCGAUGCAACGCGAAGAACCUUACCUACUCUUGACAUCCAGAGAACUUUCCAGAGAUGGAUUGGUGCCUUCGGGAACUCUGAGACAGGUGCUGCAUGGCUGUCGUCAGCUCGUGUUGUGAAAUGUUGGGUUAAGUCCCGCAACGAGCGCAACCCUUAUCCUUUGUUGCCAGCGGUUAGGCCGGGAACUCAAAGGAGACUGCCAGUGAUAAACUGGAGGAAGGUGGGGAUGACGUCAAGUCAUCAUGGCCCUUACGAGUAGGGCUACACACGUGCUACAAUGGCGCAUACAAAGAGAAGCGACCUCGCGAGAGCAAGCGGACCUCAUAAAGUGCGUCGUAGUCCGGAUUGGAGUCUGCAACUCGACUCCAUGAAGUCGGAAUCGCUAGUAAUCGUAGAUCAGAAUGCUACGGUGAAUACGUUCCCGGGCCUUGUACACACCGCCCGUCACACCAUGGGAGUGGGUUGCAAAAGAAGUAGGUAGCUUAACCUUCGGGAGGGCGCUUACCACUUUGUGAUUCAUGACUGGGGUGAAGUCGUAACAAGGUAACCGUAGGGGAACCUGCGGUUGGAUCACCUCCUUA